GUCGUCUCUCGUAGCACCAACUAAAAUUGGAACGAUACGGGGAAGAUUAGCAUGGCCCCUGCACAAG
rnacentral:snRNA from 1 species